rnacentral:sRNA from 1 species
CUUCAAUGAUAUUCGCCAGGAUUUUGUAAGUGGAUGGCACUAGGAGGAGAGGUGGGAGAGAUGACAGGUGAGGGAACCAGGACCUGGGGCCAGAUGCCAGCUCAUUCUUCCUCCCUCUGCCCCCCUUAGCUACCCUGGAAGUCACUUGCCAGCAUAGUCCAGUUUUAUUACAUGUGGAAAACCACAGACCGGUAUAUUCAGCAGGUAUCAUCUGGGCUGGGGAGGGUGGACCAUAGCCUACCUGCUGACCUCUGCCUUUGAAGUUGAUGACAUUCUCCCUGCUAUGAGGCUCUGAUCCUUCUCUUUCUUUUUCCUUCUUACAGAAAAGAUUGAAAGCUGCUGAAGCAGACAGCAAACUGAAACAGGUCUACAUCCCCACCUACACUAAGCCAAACCCUAACCAGAUCAUUUCUGUGGGUUCAAAACCUGGCAUGAAUGGGGCUGGAUUUCAGAAGGGCCUGACUUGUGAGAGUUGCCACACCACGCAGUCUGCUCAGUGGUAUGCCUGGGGCCCACCUAACAUGCAGUGCCGCCUUUGUGCUUCCUGUUGGAUCUACUGGAAGAAGUAUGGGGGACUGAAGACCCCAACUCAGCUUGAGGGGGCCACUCGGGGCACCACGGUAA